rnacentral:tRNA from 1 species
GGCUUGGUAGCUUAGUUGGUAAAGCACUUAUCUAGCGUAUAAGGGCCGUGAGUUCAAAUCUCCCCUGAGCUG